GACGUAGGGGGCAAGCGUUGUCCGGAAUUACUGGGCGUAAAGCGCACGCAGGCGGUUUGUUAAGUUAGAUGUGAAAUCCCCGGGCUUAACCUGGGAACUGCAUUUAAGACUGGCAGGCUAGAGUCUUGUAGAGGGGGGUAGAAUUCCAUGUGUAGCGGUGAAGUGCGUAGAGAUGUGGAGGAAUACCGGUGGCGAAGGCGGCCCCCUGGACAAAGACUGACGCUCAGGUGCGAAAGCGUGGGGAGCAAACAGG
rnacentral:rRNA from 1 species